rnacentral:piRNA from 2 species
AUCCGCAGCAGGUCUCCAAGGU